UGACAAAAAUCUGCAUCCACUUCUUUUCCAACUCUAGAGAGUUCUCCAAGAAGGAAGAACUCUCAUUUUCAACAAAUGAAGAUAGAGAGAAGUAACGAGAAAGAAAUUGAGGGAGAGAUUAAAGGGUCAAGGUUGGUGAUUAUUCAAGUUUAUGGCAGCAAGGAUGGGUCCAUUAAAGAAGCAAAAACGUUUUUGACCAAGCCCUCAAUUUUUCAAGCAAAUUAUGUCAUAAAAGCCUAAGGUAUGAGGCAGCAUAUACAUAUUGUGUGUGGAUAAACACUAAAGGUACCGAAGUUCAAUUUGCUGAUCCAUCUGUUUAGGACAUUUGCUGCAUCGUUGAUAGUGCUCUCUUGUUCGGAGCUUGUAUUUUGGUACUGACUUUAUCUCUAUAUAUUUGGAUAUUUUGGUCAGGGGUACGACGGGGUCCUGUCCCGUCAUAUGACUAUGCUAUCAUCUGUAGAGAUUUGUAGACAGAGUUAUGUUGUGGGUUUUGUAUAUAUGUUUUAGGUUUUGUGUGUUUUGCGAUAGCCUAUCGAUC